UGGGGAAUUUUCCGCAAUGGGCGAAAGCCUGACGGAGCAAUACCGCGUGAGGGAGGAAGGCUCUUGGGUUGUAAACCUCUUUUCUUAGGGAAGAUAAUGACGGUACCUAAGGAAUAAGCAUCGGCUAACUCCGUGCCAGCAGCCGCGGUAAUACGGAGGAUGCAAGCGUUAUCCGGAAUGAUUGGGCGUAAAGCGUCCGCAGGUGGUUUUGAAAGUCUGCUGUCAAAGCGUGCGGCUUAACCGCAUAAGGGCAGUGGAAACUACGAGACUAGAGUGCGUUCGGGGCAGAGGGAAUUCCUGGUGUAGCGGUGAAAUGCGUAGAGAUCAGGAAGAACACCGGUGGCGAAAGCGCUCUGCUAGGCCGCAACUGACACUGAGGGACGAAAGCUAGGGGAGCGAA
rnacentral:rRNA from 1 species